rnacentral:lncRNA from 1 species
AAAAAUACAGAGUAUUCUCUCUACCCCGAUCUAAGGCCAAAUAAACCAAAAAAAAGGGAAAUCUUUGGAUCUGCCUCCCCUUUUGCUGUGGCUUUUCGCCUAACCCCGAGGAUUAAGUGGCCUUGCAAAUCGGAGAGUGGGACACCGACAAACGGGUAAAUAUUUUGUUUUAUUUUCUCUUUUAAGAAUCAAAACAAAUGGAAAAAUGUCAACUUUUUUGUUUAAACCCGAUCUUUAGACCCUUUGGUAUUCGAUCCCCUGUUUCUUUUUUUCUCGUAUGUAAAAAAAGCAAUAGAUAAAAGGUAGAGUAAAAAAAACAAAAUUAAAAAGAAUUAAAACGCAAAAUCCCAGUAAACCUUCUAAAGACUUCUCCGUUUUGGUGUUUUUUAUUUUUUCUUCCUUUUUUAUUUCUGGAAAAGACCCCCUUUUUACAAAGUGAGGUUCGGCUCUUAUAGCCGAAAAUACAAGAUUUUUCCUUUCUUUUGUUCCGUGUUUUCUUUUCUUUUGCGGGUGGAGCAGGUGGCUGAGCGGUGGCAAGUGGGCGGUGACCGACGUGACAGUGGCAGCUAGGGUUUGACCGUUCUUCUGUUUCUGAUUUGAUGUUGGGAUUUGGGCUACUGUUAAUUGGGCUUAGGGUUAUUGGGCCGGGUAUUGUAAUUGGGCUUGGUUUUUAAAUGUUUAGUUUUGGUUGUAAUUGGGUUUUUGGGCCCCGGGUAAAUUUGGGCUUGUACAAAUCUGAUAGUAGGUUAAUUUCUGCCAAAUGGUUCCUGAAAUGGUGAUUGGAAGGUUACAACUAUAAGUAUAAAUUAUUGAAAGAAUCUUAAAAGAAUAUAGUUUUGAUGUGACCAGAUUGCAAGAAGACAAAUCGUCUUUAUAUUCAUUUAAGCUUACAUCAGCAUCACACUGUUUCCAUUGACCAAGUAAAUGCCUGUAAAGCCAGAAAUGUCCUCUACCGAAUGAACAAAGUCUACAAUUACGAGGGCAUUUAAGGCAUUUCCCAAUGCAACACGGCUUAGAAUUUUCUCUGAGCCUGUUUUGGUUCAU